AUUGAACGCUGGCGGCAUGCUUUACACAUGCAAGUCGAACGGUAACAGGCCUUCGGGUGCUGACGAGUGGCGAACGGGUGAGUAAUGCAUCGGAACGUACCCAGAGGUGGGGGAUAACGCAGCGAAAGCUGUGCUAAUACCGCAUGUGAUCUGAGGAUGAAAGCGGGGGACCGAGCAGCAAUGUUUGGCCUCGCGCCUUUGGAGCGGCCGAUGUCGGAUUAGCUAGUUGGUGGGGUAAAGGCCUACCAAGGCGACGAUCCGUAGCUGGUCUGAGAGGACGACCAGCCACACUGGGACUGAGACACGGCCCAGACUCCUACGGGAGGCAGCAGUGGGGACUUUUGGACAAUGGGCGCAAGCCUGAUCCAGCAAUGCCGCGUGCGGGAAGAAGGCCUUCGGGUUGUAAACCGCUUUUGGCAGGAACGAAACGGUGUCCGCUAAUACCGGGCGCUAAUGACGGUACCUGCAGAAUAAGCACCGGCUAACUACGUG
rnacentral:rRNA from 1 species